rnacentral:rRNA from 1 species
ACAAGCCUGAGAAACGGCUAGUAGGACUAAGGUCUGCAGCAGGCGCGAAACUUACACAAUGCUAGAUUAAAAGUAAAUAGCGAUGUAGUGAAGAAAAAUAACGAUGUACUUUUAUUUAAACAUAAUAGUACAAUUGGAAUGAGACGACUAUAAAUGAGUUAGUCGAGUAACAAAUGGAGGGCAAGUCUGGUGCCAGCAGCCGCGGUAAUUCCAGCUCCAUUAGCAUACAUUAAAGUUGUUGCGGUUAAAAAGCUCGUAGUUGAAUUUUAGGCGAGCUCUUGGGACAUUGGUCCGUUAAGGUUUGUGUUUUUACUCAAGCUGGUCCAAUUGUCCUUUAGGAGUUCGCUGUUUCGUCACUUAAUCGAGUGCGAAGCGGGGUGAAGCAAAACAAAUUUUAACUAAUUUGUCUGCUCCACCAUGUUUACCUUGAGAAAAUUAGAGUGCUCACAGCAGGCAGUUGGGGUGUAAAAGCUCCUUUAAUGCUUGAAUAAUGUUGCAUGGAAUAAUAGAAUACGGCCUCGGUUCUAUUCUGUUGGUCUUAUAGAACAACAAACAAGUUGGUUUGGGGCGUCAAAGAGCGUGUUUGUUAAUCAAAAGUUUCUAGCUGUUGCUUGUUGAGCUGGAGUAAAAUCCAGGAUCCAUCGCAGUUAAAAGCCUAACUUACACUGUUCAGUUCCAUCAACCAACUGAGGCAAUGGUUAAAAGAAAUAGUCGCGGCGGCAUCAGUACUGCAUCGUGAGAG